CAACACUGCCUGAGACAGGAAUAACCAGGAAUUUUAAAACAAAAUUCCGGUUUUAACCACGUCUCACAUAGAGCUAUAACACAAGGGUUAAAUUUGUUAAUAAGAUAAAUUAAAUCAGAUUUGUUCUUCACUACGCUUCUGCAGUUCCAUUGUAGUACUUUGCCUAAACAUGUCCACCGGUACACCUCUUACGAGCCCCAUCCUGGUAACAUUAAAAGAUGGAAUAAAAGCUUCAUAACCUUUUCCAAUAAGGCAUGAUGUUUUAAGAAAGAAUUUGCAGCUGAGUGACUUGUGAAUGCCAUUGAAAUUUUGUUGCGACCGAUACGCUUCAAACUGCCUUGUACUAUGUUUGGCACCUGGUUUUAUACAAAAAUCUGCCAAAGCAUAUUGGAUGCAAAUUAAGAUCCUGUGUUACCUCUCCUGUACUAGACCUAGCAACAUGAAUAAUAAAUGGUGAAGCAUCCAA
rnacentral:lncRNA from 1 species